AGGAGUAGGAGGAGGAGGAGGAGGAGGAGAAGAAGAAGAAGAAGAAGAAGAAGAAUAAGAGGAGAAGAAAAAAAUAAGAAGGACAAGAAGAAGAAGAAGAAGAAGAAGAAGAAGAAGAGAAGAAAAAAAUAAGAAGGAGAAGAAGUAAAGAAGAAGAGAAGAAGAGAAUAAGAAAAUAAUAAGAAGGAGAAGAAGAGAAAAAAGAAGAAGAAGUUGAUUUUUUAUUGUUUGGUA
rnacentral:lncRNA from 1 species